ensembl:lncRNA
GUGGCUCACCCCUGUAAUCCCAGCACUUUGGGAGGCCAAGGCGGGUGGAUCACCUGAGGUCAGGAGUUUGAGACCAGCCUGGCCAACAUGGCGAAAACCCAUCUCUAAUAAAAAUACAAAAAUUAGCCAGGCAUGGUGACAGGCGCCUGUAAUCCAAGCUACUCGAGAGGCUGAGGUGAGAGAAUCACUUGAACUGGGGAGGCAGGGCUUGCAGUGAGCCAAGAUCACUUCAUUGCACUCCAGCCUGGGCAACAGAGCAAGACUCCAUCUCAAAAAAGAAAAAAAAAUUAAAUGCCUUUUGUUUAAAAUACCCAACAAAAUAGUUCAAGCUGUUAACCACUCAUUCGUUUUUCAGAAGUCUUUGAAUUAGAGCAAAAUGGAAUUAUAUUUUCAGUCUGGGUCUUGCUACAUGUCCUCAGGUCCCAGUGAAAAUCCUUGUUACUGAUGAUGUAGAAGUAUUUCUGUCCCCCCACACAGGUUCAGUCUGUAGGUCUUCUUUGGGACUGGAAAAUCCGGGCACAGGGGCCGGCCCUGCAGAGUCUGUCCAGCCCUUCCCCCUCGAGGCUCCUGUCCAAAGCCGCCCAUCACCCCUGGCGGCUGUUCCCUUUGCUUAAGCUUCCCUCAAGGCCAAACAGCCUUCAGCAGAGCUGAACUGCUCAGGGAGGAAGACGAGGGUCACAGGCUGAUCCUCCUGAAUCAGAGGACAGAACAUGUCGUUCUAGUGCCCACAGCCAAGACCUCAAGGAAACAUGUUCUCCCUCCAGUCCACACUGCCCCAGGCGAAGGAGUAAGAGGAAGCUGAUGGUUUGACCCCUUAAGAGAGGGAAAUGCCCAGGGCUGCUGGGGGUGGCCAAGGAAAGAAAGGGCCUGGGGAAGAUUUUGAAGUGCUGAUGGAGCCAGUUUGGAGUCCUGCUAGCGAAAUUUCCACGUGUGCCUAAGCCCGUGAGCUUAUGACCUGGCGAGAGAGGUCCUGGCUCCAGCGCCUAAAGCCCCAGGUGGAGCAUGCACUGGCUGUGCAGCGGCCCCAGUGCACCCUUCUCUUCCCUACUGAGGAACCCUGAGCAGGAGGCUGUCCAGCCGCACGGCCACAGCGUCCUCUCCUGUAACUGGGAAUGAUGGAACCCACUCCUGAGGACUGUGAUGACGGUGAAGUGAGAGGAUGCAUCCACGCCACCAGAGUCCCUGACACUUCUUUGGCAUACAGAUUGGAGCAGUCACUGUUCCAGGGCCCGGCACAGGGGACAGGAAGAGGUUGCUUAGCAUCCCACUUGGCAAGGUCAGGGGCACAAAGACAGGGUGGAGGCACAGUGAGGUCCCAGGCUGGACAGGAUUAAAAUGCCUCGUGGGCAUUUGGUGUAGGUCACCUUGAAUUUCAGGUUCUUUCCAACCCUGAGGUUCCAGUUCUGAAAGGAUAUCCCUUAGGCAGCUGCUUUCCCGGGAAGCAAGAACUCCACUGAGCCUUGAAGGGUCACAGAGGUCCUCACACACACCCCAGAAGGCCCCAGGCAGAGGCAACUUUCCUGUAGGCGGCACAGGCUGCUCAGCCAGACCCCAUGACCUGACCCUGCCAGGAAUGUGACCUGUCUCCCCACCCAGACAUGCCCAGGACCUUGUUUCCCAAGUGUCUGCCUCACCUGGGGGCCUGAUGCCCCCCAGCCUACACCGGGUGCCCUUUCCCCAGUCACAGAUGGCUGAUUUGUUGAAUUAAUGAGUGGCUUCUUCUCUUAUCCUUUCCCUUGGCUCAUUCAAAUAAGCUGGUUUUGCACCAUUCUUUUGCACCAGAGUCACAUGUUUCAAACCGAUUUCAUUUUUUUCCUAGUUUAUACCUAUACGUUUCUUGUGUCCUAUUUGUCUUCAUUGAGAUUUGGAUGGGAAUCGGAUGAUGAGCUGCAAAGAGGUGUCAGAUACUCGGUGUAUUCUGGGAGCUAUUCUCCGAAUGUCCUUCUGGUGGAGACCGAGAUCUCCACCCUUCCUGGGUGGGCCUGGUUCCUCGACCCCCUCCCUCACACUGUGUCCUCAGAGCUCUGUGGAAAAAGCACAUGGGCUGAGGAUGGAAGAAUUUCCCUGUUGAGCUCUUUCCCUAUUGAGUUAAACGAGACCAUAUGAAGUUCCAGAGGGUCUGGCGCAGAGGCCGGGUUAUUCUUGAUCCAGGGGUGUGGGCAGGGGAAACAGUGAUAACCUCCAAGGUAAAAGCAGCGUGUGGGGGAGGGAGCCCGCAGCCAAGCCAAGGGCAAGGGAGAGCUAAGUUCCCAUCCCCGGAAAACACACACAUCCCUCCCGCUGGAAGGUGCUGAGACUAUGGAAUAAACAGACAGUGGAGCCGAGUCCCACCCAUGCCCGCAACCAGCUCUGGACAGUGUCUUUUUAGGAAACAAUGGGAGUGAGUGGAAAGGGUAGAAUGAACACAUGGUCUCCAAGUUGUAGGCGCAGGACGGUGGAACUUGGGAGGAGACAUUCCUCUGGAGGAGAAAAGGAGAAAAAUAGAAAGAGGAUAGUCAAACCCACUGAAAUCCUAAGAGGAUCUCUUUAUCAAAAUACAGUGUCCUCGCUGCAGGCAUAUCAGGUCACAGAAGCAAUUAGUGUCAUAUACGCAUCAGCUUGCAGAGCAGGGAACGGCCUCCAUGGGAAGGCUUCUCCUUGUGGCCAGCCAAGCCCUGGAGUAGACCAGCUAGCCCCUGUGCUGGCACCUCCUGGCUGUGGGUUGCACCUGUGCCCCCACACCCCUAAAGGGAUGCCCACCCUGACGUCUUCCCCCAUUGUCAACGCUGUGCUGGUCAUCUCAUGGGACAGCAGCUUGAACCGUCUUCCAGGCAGUCCCAAGAUAUGAAGCCAGGGGAGAAAUACUCCCAUUCCUUCUUUGGGGUUUGGUCUCAUCAUUCUUAGUGGCGUUUGGGGCCUUUCCAAGCUCCCUUCCUGAUUGUCACCCUGAGGAACAGCCCGGUGGCCUGGCCUGAGAUAGCUGUUGUCCUCACUUCCUUCAACCAACACUCUGCUCCCUUUCGCGUCCCCAUCAGCCAUCCUCACUGAGAAAACUGAGGUGGCAUCGUGGCCCAUGAAAAUCGUCUUCCGUCCGGCUGAGUGGACGCCAGGAACCCAAGAAGCCAUGCCGUCGAGGAUGUCAGUGCAGAUGGAAGACAAGUGCAUGCCCGGCCUAGAGCAAACCCCUGGCCCGGGCAGUGCGCCUUCUGGCAGGAACAUCUCACAGCCUGGAGGGCUCUGGAAGGUUUGUCAGAGUCCCCAAAAGAAAGAGGACUCAUUGGAGGACCAUUCCCAAAUGCUGAUCCACACAUAUUUGCUGCUGAGACAGUUUUGAGUGUUUGCACAAA